rnacentral:rRNA from 1 species
ACGAACGCUGGCGGCGUGCUUCACCCCUGCCAGUCGAACGGAAAGGCCCCAGCUUGCUGGGGUACUCGAGUGGCGAACGGGUGAGUAACACGUGGGUGAUCUGCCCUGCACUCUGGGAUAAGCCUGGGAAACUGGGUCUAAUACCGGAUAGGACCGUGCUUUAGUGUGUGCGGUGGAAAGUUUUUCGGUGCAGGAUGAGCCCGCGGCCUAUCAGCUUGUUGGUGGGGUAAUGGCCUACCAAGGCGGCGACGGGUAGCCGGCCUGAGAGGGUGUACGGCCACAUUGGGACUGAGACACGGCCCAGACUCCUACGGGAGGCAGCAGUGGGGAAUAUUGCACAAUGGGCGCAAGCCUGAUGCAGCGACGCCGCGUGGGGGAUGACGGCCUUCGGGUUGUAAACCCCUUUCGGCAGGGACGAAGCUUUUGUGACGGUACCUGCAUAAGAAGCACCGGCUAACUACGUG